rnacentral:rRNA from 1 species
UACAGAGGUCCCGAGCGUUGUUCGGAUUCAUUGGGCGUAAAGGGUGCGUAGGUGGCGCCGUAAGUGGGGUGUGAAAUCCCGGGGCUUAACCCCGGGACUGCAUUCCAUACUGCGGUGCUUGAGGACUGGAGAGGAGACUGGAAUUUACGGGUGUAGCAGUGAAAUGCGUUAGAGAUCGUAAGGAAGACCAGUGGCGAAGGCGGGUCUCUGGACAGUUCCUGACACUGAGGCACGAAGGCCAGGGGAGCAAACGGG